rnacentral:rRNA from 1 species
GAUGAACGCUAGCGGCAGGCUUAAUACAUGCAAGUCGAGGGGCAGCGCAGUGUAGCAAUACAUGGGCGGCGACCGGCAAACGGGUGCGGAACACGUACACAACCUUCCUACAAGUGGGGAAUAGCCCAGAGAAAUUUGGAUUAAUACCCCGUAACAUAGCGAUGUGGCAUCACAUUGCUAUUAUAGCUUCGGCGCUUGUUGAUGGGUGUGCGGCUGAUUAGAUAGUUGGCGGGGUAACGGCCCACCAAGUCUACGAUCAGUAGCUGAUGUGAGAGCAUGAUCAGCCACACGGGCACUGAGACACGGGCCCGACUCCUACGGGAGGCAGCAGUAAGGAAUAUUGGACAAUGGACGCAAGUCUGAUCCAGCCAUGCCGCGUGAAGGAUUAAGGUCCUCUGGAUUGUAAACUUCUUUUAUAAGGGACGAAAAAAGGUCUUUCUAGAUCGUCUGACGGUACCUUAUGAAUAAGCACCGGCUAACUCCGUGCCAGCCGCCGCAGUAAUAC